UGGACAAUCUGAACCUAUGUGAUGCUUCCUUAAUCUGAUUGAAAGAAGUGUUAGGAGUUUAGGUGAUUUUGGAGUAGAUAUGGCUGGAAAAUCGACGGCAGCACACCAAUGCGACUAUGCAAGUACGGUGGUGGUUGCAUCGAAUGAUCAUCCAAACAAAAAGGUGAAAGCUGAGAACAAAAAGUCAACGCUAAUGGGAUGAAGCAAGGUCUGAACGUCCGAAUAAGGAAGUGAAUGGUUUGGAUGUCCUGAAAAGUCUCCUAGGUUUGUCACUUUGGUGGGCUUAGAGAAAGUAUCACUUCAUUCUCAUGAUAUGCAAUGUACGGGCGGGAACCAUUUGCUCUAGAUUUCUGAUGUGAAUGAUAUCAGGGGAAACUUCUUUGGUAUACUCUCAUGUAAAGUUUUCUUUUAUGUCGGUAAAUAGGAUCACAGAAUAACAUCACAUAUUUCAUUUUUUGUGGCCUUUGCAGCAGGGUGAACCAAGACUCAUUCAUUUAGUUAUAUCUGCACGGGAUUGGUCUUUUAGAAUGUAGUAUAACUCCAAAUUACCACCUUUAAAAACUUAGGAUCACAUUUUAUGUUUAUUAUUUCUGAAACGUUAAUAUCAUUUAUAAUAUCUUAAAAGCUUAAUUUGCAUAAACCAACAUGAUAGGCUCUUUUCAUUAUGUUUUUUGCCAUUUUUCCAUGUCGAGUUUCUCUACAAAAAAAAUAAAAUACCAAGUGGUAAGCUCCUUCCAAUAAGUUACAAAGUGGAACUGAUUGCAACAGAAUAGUAGAUGAUAUAUUGCCAUGAGUUACUUAUUCUUUGUUCUUUUCGUAGGCCUCAGUUUUUGGUCCUAAAUGUGGGUGUAUUUGAUUGUACUACAUUUUCAAUGUGAUGCAAGAAAGAAAAUAUUCUAGAAAGUUGAAGCUUCUAAUAAAAAAUAUCAGAGGCUAGAGACAUCGUGCAGCAUCUGUGGACAUAGCCGAUAUCGAAUGUAGACGUAGUACAAGAUGUUUCGUGUACCGAUCCUGCUUGUGGCAAGUCACUCCGACUACUGCAAAGUUUUUUGUUGGGCCUAGUAGAUGAGAAGUUAGAACUUAGAGAUGGGAUUCACUUUCUGAAUAAGUAGCUAACUGUAGGAAACACACUUCCACAUUUUGUUUUAGAAAUUUGUUGGGAAGUUUCAAUGGUAAGAUAUCCGCAGAAGCUGCAGCAAAGUCUGAUGGAGUCAUACAUCGGGGAUCUAAAGAAUCUCUAUAUGGGAGUUUGUUACAAUUUGUAUAACAUGCUAAUUUGGUUGUAAAAUCUUCAGCAAUUAAUAACCCAUGAUUUUCAGA